rnacentral:rRNA from 1 species
AGAGUUUGAUCAUGGCUCAGGACGAACGCUAGCGGCGUGCCUAAUGUAUGCAAGUCGAACGGCCCGCAAGGGUAGUGGCGAACGGUUGAGUAACACGUAGACAACCUGCCUCCAGGUGGGGGAUAACAGCUCGAAAGGGCUGCUAAUACCGCAUAUGGCGCCCCGUGGCUUCACGGGAGGGCUAAAGGAGCAAUUCGCCUGGAGAUGGGUCUGCGGCCUAUCAGCUAGUUGGUGGGGUAACGGCCUACCAAGGCGACGACGGGUAGCUGGUCUGAGAGGAUGAUCAGCCAGACGGGGACUGAGACACGGCCCCGACUCCUUCGGGAGGCAGCAAUGAGGGAUAUUGCACAAUGGGGGAAACCCUGAUGCAGCGACGCCGCGUGGGUGAGGAAGUCCUUCGGGACGUAAAGCCCUUUUGUGGGGGACGAUACCAGACGGUACCCCACGAAUAAGCCCG